GACGAAGGAUGCAAGCGUUAUCCGGAUUCACUGGGUUUAAAGGGUGCGUAGGAGGGCAGGUAAGUCAGUGGUGAAAUCUUCGGGCUUAACCCGAAAACUGCAUUGCGAACUGGUCUGGCUAGAGUGUGUGAGAGGGUAGUGGAAUUCCCGGUGUAGCGGUGAAAUGCGCAGAUAUCGGGAGGAACACCAAUGGCGAAGGCAGCUCGCUGGGACGGUACUGACGCUGAGGCGCGAAAGCGUGGGGAGCAAACAGG
rnacentral:rRNA from 1 species